GUAGCUCAAUUGGAUAGAGCAUCUGACUACGGAUCAGAAGGUUGUGAGUUCGAAUCCCGCCGAGU
rnacentral:tRNA from 1 species